UGUGGGGAAGGCAGUGGUGGCGGCGUCAGCGGAAGCGCGACACGGAAACGCCUCCAGGGGAGCCGAUGCCUUCCGGUUCCGGAAAAGGCCGAGGGGGUGGCAUGAGUCGCUCGACAAAGCUGCGAACAGCAAAGGAAGAGUACGCAUGCGCAGUUGAGGGCUAAAAUGGAGGGAGUUAUUUGACGCAGCACAGGAGUGCAAGCCCAGAGCUGGCAUGGUACAGGAAGGCUGAGCGCCCCGGAGGUAGACUGCCAGGCACGGUGCUUCAGCACUGUGUUGCACUCAGCUUGCGGUCAGCAUCGCCGCGCUGCAUCACCCUCUCCCAGCUGCAGCAAGCCAGCUCAACUUCAAAUAGACAAGCCAGCUGUCUACAUGCUACCCGCUUGUCGCUGAUGCCAGUCCAACCCUGGAAGGACAGACAGCCCAUCUCCUCACCCCUGUUGGAUCACAAGGGCCUCCUAGCCCUCGUUGGCAGUGGUCCCUCAAAGUCGAGGAUGACAUCCAUCAGGCUUGAUGGGUCUUCAAGUGACUGAGGAGCUUGAUUCUGGAUGCACACGUUCUUCGGCA